AAUUAAAAAUAAGUUUUAAAUUUGUUAAUACUUUUAUUUUAUGGGGUUGAUUUUUUUAUUUCCAAUGAUUGAAGUUUUACCUUAAAAAUUUGUUAGAGCUUAUUAGGAUAAAGUUUGUGCCAGCAAUCGCGGUCAUACUCUAUUAAUAAAAUUUUAUUUUUCUUUAUUUUUCAAAAACUUUUCUAUUAAUUUUAGGUGAAAUUUAAAUUUAAAUUUUAACAAAAAGAUGAAAGAAUGUAAUUUUCUAUAAAAAUAGAAUUAGAUACUCUAGUAUUUUAAAGUUUAUUUUAAAGUAGUAAAUAAAUAUUAUCAAACUUAAUUUUUUUGGCGGUUUUUCAUUCUUUUAUAGGAACUUGUUAUUUUGGAUGGAUAACCCGCUCUUAUUUUAGCUAGUUUUCAUUUUAUGUACGGCUGUUUAAUUUUAAAUUUUUGUCUUAUUAAAAAAUUUAUUUUUAAAAUUCAGGUCAAUGUGUAGAGUAUAAACUAGUUUUUAAUGAGUUACUAUAAUUGGAAUUUUUUUUAGUGAAUCAUAAAAUUGGAUAUAAAAGUAAAUAAAAAAUGAAACUUUUUAUUGGUAAAGCUCUUGAAAAAAGUACAUAUCGCCCGUCACUCUUUUGAUAGAUAAGUCGUAACAAAGUAGAAGUACUGGAAAGU
rnacentral:rRNA from 1 species